rnacentral:rRNA from 1 species
CCUACGGGGGGCAGCAGUGGGGAAUAUUGCACAAUGGGCGCAAGCCUGAUGCAGCAACGCCGCGUGAGGGAUGAAGGCCUUCGGGUUGUAAACCUCUUUUAGCAGGGAAGAAGCGAAAGUGACGGUACCUGCAGAAAAAGCACCGGCUAACUACGUGCCAGCAGCCGCGGUAAUACGUAGGGUGCAAGCGUUGUCCGGAAUUAUUGGGCGUAAAGAGCUCGUAGGCGGUUUGUCACGUCUGCUGUGAAAAUCCAAGGCUCAACCUUGGACUUGCAGUGGGUACGGGCAGGCUAGAGUGCGGUAGGGGAGAUGGGAAUUCCUGGUGUAGCGGUGGAAUGCGCAGAUAUCAGGAGGAACACCAAUGGCGAAGGCACAUCUCUGGGCCGUAACUGACGCUGAGGAGCGAAAGCGUGGGGAGCGAACAGGAUUAGAUACCCCCGUAGUC